rnacentral:tRNA from 1 species
GCUGGGGCUCAGUGGCAGAGUGCUUGCCUAGCAUGUGUGAGGCACUGGGUUUGAUUCUCAGCUCUGCA